UAAUAAAAUAGUACAGCAUGGUUCUAUUUUGUUGGUUUCUAGGAUCACCGUAAUGAUUAAUAGAGAUAGUUGGGGCAUUAGUAUUCAAUUGUCAGAGGUGAAACUCUUGAAUUUAUUGAAGACUAACUUCUGCGAAAGCAUUUGCCAAGGAUGUUUUCAUUAAACAGGAACGAAAGUUAGAGGAUCAAAGACGAUCAGAUACUAUCGUAGUCUUAACCAUAAACUAUACCGAUUAAGGAUCGGAUGAUGUUGACUUUUUAAUAGCUUGUUCGGCGCCUUACG
rnacentral:rRNA from 1 species